rnacentral:pre_miRNA from 1 species
GUAAUACUCCCUCCGUUCGGAAUUACUUGUCGCAGAAAUGGAUGUAUCUAGACGUAUUUUAGUUCUAGAUACAUCCAUUUCCGAGACAAGUAAUUCCAAACGGAGGGAGUACAUU